rnacentral:rRNA from 1 species
UAUGGAGGGGACUAGCGUUGUUCGGAAUUACUGGGCGUAAAGCGCACGUAGGCGGAUUUGUAAGUCAGGGGUGAAAUCCCGGGGCUCAACCUCGGAACUGCCUUUGAUACUGCAAAUCUCGAGUCCGGAAGAGGUGAGUGGAAUUCCUAGUGUAGAGGUGAAAUUCGUAGAUAUUAGGAAGAACACCGGUGGCGAAGGCGGCGUCCUGGACCAACACUGACACUGAUGAGCGAAAGCCAGGGGAGCAAACGGG